rnacentral:lncRNA from 1 species
GGAGAUACAGGAGAGGGGAGGAGAAGGAAGAAGAGGGGGCGAGCUCGCAACCUCGUUUCUGGGGAAAGGAAGAGCGGUGUAGAGGCAGGGUUCGCGGGGGAGCAGGUGGGCGCGGCACACCAGCGACCGACAGCCCGCUGUACUCUGCAGCCAGGCGACGCGACUCGGGCUCCCAAAGGGAGAAGGCAGGCAGGAGAGUGAAAGAUGUGGACAGAGGAGCGGGACCGGACUGCGCAGGAGGGUGGCGCGACGCGACACAGCCCAGCAGCCCGCUGGAACCUGGAGCUCAGCGACCCACGGGGCUCCGGCCGGGGAGGAGGAGAGGGUGGUACGCUAGGGCAGCGAAACCAAUAGGACGGCGAGUAGCGGAGGGGCGGGAUUACUCCUGGCACCAAGCCAAUGGGUGACUUGGGGUAGGGACGGGUCCGUUGGUUAGAGGCCAAUGGGAGAGCGAUUUUGUGUCGGGGCGGCGUGCCAGGCGGCUCAGAGCCAAUGGGAGGGUGAGCGGGGCGACGCUGGCGCGCCGGGGAGGGAGGCUGACCCGGAAGGCGGUGGGGGCGGGGAGCCGAGCUGACAACCUGUCAAAUCCACUUCGGGACGAACUAGGUCACGCGCUCCGAGCUAGGUGCCCCCGCCCGCGAGGCCCGCGGGUGGCCCGCGGCUGCUUCCUCUCUAUGCCGGCGGCGGUGGGGGCGGGGAGGGACACCUGCGUCCCUGCCUCCCGCCGCGCGGCCCUGUCGGCUUCGGAGGCCCCUCGCGUGGACUCGCCCGUCGCGGGAGCCAGGACCGGCAGGGCCCUCUGCUGGAACUGGCCAGGCAUCCUGUAUUCAAGAUGGUUCCACCCCUCAGAGGCAGCUUCUACGUCAAGGGAACUGGGCAGACAUCUGCCCCAGGGAGUCGGGCAGAGUUCUGGAUCUGACCUUGAUGGUGACCUUGGAGGCUGCAAUGCACAUGUUGGGGGAGGUGGAUCCUGAGCUGGCCUGAGGGUGAGCUCCUCCCUUGCUUCCUGUCCUGGAUCACAAGGCCCUCCAGCUUGCUACCCUGCCUUGGAGCUGGCCUGCCAUGGACUGAAACAAUUGACAACAUUCAC